rnacentral:rRNA from 1 species
UGGGGAAUAUUGGACAAUGGGGGGAACCCUGAUCCAGCCAUGCCGCGUGUGUGAAGAAGGCCGUAUGGUUGUAAAGCACUUUAAGCGAGGAGGAGGGUACUGGUAUUAAUACUACCAGGUACUGGACGUUACUCGCAGAAUAAGCACCGGCUAACUCUGUGCCAGCAGCCGCGGUAAUACAGAGGGUGCGAGCGUUAAACGGAUUUACUGGGCGUAAAGCGUGCGUAGGCGGCUAAGUGAGUCGGAUGUGAAAUCCCCGAGCUUAACUUGGGAAUUGCAUUCGAUACUGGUUAGCUAGAGUGUGGGAGAGGAUGGUAGAAUUCCAGGUGUAGCGGUGAACUGCGUAUCGAUCUGGAGGAAUACCGAUGGCGAAUUCAGCCAUCUGGCCUAACACUGACGCUGAGGUACGAAAGCAUGGGGCGCAAACCGG